rnacentral:ncRNA from 1 species
AAAGUCCGAAUCCGAUAAAGCUUAGCAAGCAGCUGGUACACAGCCUUGGAGCCGAAGCCGUGAGGUGAGGUUUAAGCGUAGGCAGUGGAGUACGAGAGCCGCAAUGCGAAAGCGUGAAGCGAUACAGCCCCGUAAGUUAUAUAAAGCGGAAGCCGAUACUUUUCCUUUGGUCGCAGGCAGCAAUAUGGCAGUCGAUAUGCGAGAAUGCCGUAGGUUCCGUCGGGGUCCAAGAGC